rnacentral:rRNA from 1 species
AGAGUUUGAUCAUGGCUCAGAGCGAACGCUGGCGGCAGGCCUAACACAUGCAAGUCGAACGGACCCUUCGGGGUUAGUGGCGGACGGGUGAGUAACACGUGGGAACGUGCCUUUAGGUUCGGAAUAGCUCCUGGAAACGGGUGGUAAUGCCGAAUGUGCCCUUCGGGGGAAAGAUUUAUCGCCUUUAGAGCGGCCCGCGUCUGAUUAGCUAGUUGGUGAGGUAACGGCUCACCAAGGCGACGAUCAGUAGCUGGUCUGAGAGGAUGACCAGCCACACUGGGACUGAGACACGGCCCAGACUCCUACGGGAGGCAGCAGUGGGGAAUCUUGCGCAAUGGGCGAAAGCCUGACGCAGCCAUGCCGCGUGAAUGAUGAAGGUCUUAGGAUUGUAAAAUUCUUUCACCGGGGACGAUAAUGACGGUACCCGGAGAAGAAGCCCCGGCUAACUUCGUGCCAGCAGCCGCGGUAAUACGAAGGGGGCUAGCGUUGCUCGGAAUUACUGGGCGUAAAGGGCGCGUAGGCGGAUCGUUAAGUCAGAGGUGAAAUCCCAGGGCUCAACCCUGGAACUGCCUUUGAUACUGGCGAUCUUGAGUAUGAGAGAGGUAUGUGGAACUCCGAGUGUAGAGGUGAAAUUCGUAGAUAUUCGGAAGAACACCAGUGGCG